rnacentral:lncRNA from 1 species
AGGUGUCCACUAUUCUGGAUUUGGCAUGUGUUUUCUUUAGAGUUUUACUAUGCGUGCCCCUCAACAAGAUGGCAGCCUGUGGGGAGAUGACCUCAUCUGCUUUGUACAUUCCUGGAUCCCAAAGGCCGGCAUGGCCUGGCACCUAAGAGCUCCUCUUAGGACUACUCAUUCAUUCAACAGACAUUGAUGAGGCCACCGAUGUCACAGAGGGUGAGCAGUG